rnacentral:rRNA from 1 species
AGUGAACGCUGGCGGUAGGCCUAACACAUGCAAGUCGAACGGCAGCACAGUAAGAGCUUGCUCUUACGGGUGGCGAGUGGCGGACGGGUGAGGAAUACAUCGGAAUCUACUUUUUCGUGGGGGAUAACGUAGGGAAACUUACGCUAAUACCGCAUACGACCUACGGGUGAAAGCAGGGGAUCUUCGGACCUUUCGCGAUUGAAUGAGCCGAUGUCGGAUUAGCUAGUUGGCGGGGUAAAGGCCCACCAAGGCGACGAUCCGUAGCUGGUCUGAGAGGAUGAUAAGCCACACUGGAACUGAGACACGGUCCAGACUCCUACGGGAGGCAGCAGUGGGGAAUAUUGGACAAUGGGCGCAAGCCUGAUCCAGCCAUACCGCGUGGGUGAAGAAGGCCCUCGGGUUGUAAAGCCCUUUUGUUGGGAAAGAAAAGCAGCAGGUUAAUACCCCGCUGUUCUGACGGUACCCAAAGAAUAAGCACCGGCUAACUUCGUG